CUAAAGGACAAAAGUGCUUGAUUAUCCAUUUUGGGUGCCAAAUAACAAUUUGAGGACUACUUAAAGAGAGUGAAACCGCCCGAAGCUCUGGCACUCAGUUGUCAGUUGCUUAGUGCCCUGAUGUCUGAGAAUUCAUCAAGAGUUAACUCAACGUAACUCAAUGUCGAAAGAGCGGUGAUGCAUUUGCCACAACUCCAUUUCCGCUGACAGCUCUUCCAAGUGGCAGCCAUGGGCGCCCACUGUGGUUGCAGGCGCAAUCGUUAUGCAGUUCCAGCUUCAGCAUCGGCUGUAUCUUAGUAUGCAGCGAUGUUUGCUUUUAAGUAAAUAAAAUUAAUCAUUUGCCCGGUAGACCGGCUGCUGCAAACGAGAUGGAGCUCGACAUGCAUCAAAUAGCGCGGAGCGCUGAAAAUUCGAAAAUUGAAAAUGCAUUGGCAACGAUGAUGUGACAGUGAUGUAUAACAUUUCCAGCAGUACCCGGUGUUAUUAUGGCCAGCUCUCGCAUAGCAUUGAAAUGAGGAGCAUUCACAGAGGAGCAUUGCACGACCACUAUGAACUGAAGACAAGGCCUAUGUCCACUGAUUGUCUGAUGUCCACUGUUGUCUGAUUCGACAACAUCGACCAAAACAACUGUAACUGCCAGCGAAGGCACUGACGUGGCUAUGAAGUUUCAGUUGCAACCACACCUGCUUCAUAUACAACCACAUAUGAUCUAAUCACAAGUCCUGCAGUUCCAGACAAUAUUUCACUAGCUGUGCCUACGACGACGUUGGACUUACGGUUACGCUCACAACCUCUUCAGCACGAAGCCUGAGCUCUGACCUCAAGAAGUUAUUAAAUUCAUCGAAUCACUAGCUUCCUGGAUUAAAUUUAUUGUACUGGUCAAGGUCAUCAUUAAAUAUAUUAUAAACUGAC
rnacentral:sRNA from 1 species